rnacentral:pre_miRNA from 1 species
GGUCUCUGUGUUGGGCGUCUGUCUGCCCGCAUGCCUGCCUCUUUGUUGCUCUGAAGGAGGCAGGGGCUGGGCCUGCAGCUGCCUGGGCAGAGCUG